ACGGAGGAUGCGAGCGUUAUCCGGAUUUAUUGGGUUUAAAGGGUGCGUAGGCGGCUUUGUAAGUCAGCGGUGAAAUUUUGCAGCUUAACUGUAAAAGCGCCGUUGAUACUGUGAAGCUAGGAUUUGGUUGCUGUGGGCGGAAUGUGUGGUGUAGCGGUGAAAUGCAUAGAGAUCACACAGAAUAUCGAUUGCGAAGGCAGCUCACAAAGCCAAUAUUGACGCUGAGGCACGAAAGUGUGGGGAUCAAACAG
rnacentral:rRNA from 1 species